rnacentral:lncRNA from 1 species
GUCUGCUGGAGGAAAGGGCAUCUCCUGCUCUUUUGAGGGCUGUUAAAUAUAACAUCCGAAUGGAUAAUGAUAUCAUGGGAUCCUCAACACCAUCGUGACCUAUUAGAGUCAGGUCAUGUGAGUCCAGGUGAUAAAUGAGGUCAUAAUGGCAGAGAUUAGUACAGACCUCAAGGACUAAAAGAUUCAGAGGUGUCAAUCCUCUUCAUAUUUCCAUUUAAUUCAUGGGUCUGACCCCCACAAAUACAGAUAUUACCACAAUUGAUUCCAUCUCUUCUGCUGGAAGGUGGAAAACUUCAAAGGUGUAAGCAAUCAUGAGCCUUUUACAAAAGAGAAAGAAUGAGGGUCCCUAUGGCCUGCAGAGCCUUUUCUGGGAACUUCUAGGCUGUUCCAUGUUCCAUGUUCUAGACUGUUCUAGGCUGUGCCAUGGAAAUAUAACACGAGCCACCAAUAUGAGCCACCUGUGUAAUUUAAAAGUUUCUACUAACUACAAUCAAAAGAGCAAAAAGAAACAGGUGAAAUUAAUUGUAAUAUGUUUUAUUCAACCCAACAUAUUCAAGCUAUUAUCCAUGUAACAUGUAAUGAAUAUAAAAUUCAUUAAUGACAUACUAUUUCCAGUGACUUUUCUUCAUACUAUAUCUUCGAAAUGUGUGCUUUAUACUUACAGCACAUCUCAGUUCCGACUAGUCACAUGGCAAGUGCUGAGUAGCCACACAGUGGGCAGUGGCUGUGGACAGUGUAUUCUAGACCAUCUCCUGCAACCAGAAGGGGAGCCCUGGUGCUUUUUUCAAAACCUGGGAGCAAGACUUGUCGCCUGCUGAUGUCAUUUAGUCACUUGUUCCCUGGGGCUUAAUUCUAAUAUUCCCUCUGAGCACAAGUCCCUGUCCAGGUAAUCCCACUAGACUUUACACAGAAAUAAACGCCCUCCCUUCAUGUUUCACAUGAAAGCCCUGGGGGAUCCUGAAACAAAAGAGUGGAAUUUGCAUGUGUUGUUCAUUCUUCCUCAAUUAUAUAUGCAGAUAUCUUAAACAAACAAAAAAAACACUACCUU